rnacentral:tRNA from 1 species
GGGGAGGUGGCUGAGCACGGUAAAGUAGCAGUUUGCUAAACUGCCGGGAUUUAUUCAUCUCGCAUGGGUUCAAAUCCCAUUCUCCCCG